CUGGCGGCACGCCUAACACAUGCAAGUCGAGCGAGGUAGCAAUACCUAGCGGCAGACGGGUGAGUAACAUGUGGGAAUCUGCCUUUUGGUUCGGAACAACACGGGGAAACCUGUGCUAAUACCGGAUAAGUCCUAACGGAGAAAGUUUUAAUGCCAAAAGAUGAGCCCGCAUUUGAUUAGCUAGUUGGUAAGGUAAAAGCUUACCAAGGCGACAAUCAAUAGCUGAUUUGAGAGGAUGACCCCCCACACUGGUACUGAGACACGGACCAGACUCC
rnacentral:rRNA from 1 species